UACAGAGGGGGCAAGCGUUGUUCGGAAUUACUGGGCGUAAAGGGCGCGUAGGUGGCCUUCUAAGUUGAACGUGAAAUCCCUGGGCUCAACCCAGGAACUGCGUCCAAGACUGGGAGGCUUGAAUCCGGGAGGGGGAUGCGGAAUUCCAGGUGUAGCGGUGAAAUGCGUAGAUAUCUGGAGGAACACCGGUGGCGAAGGCGGCAUCCUGGACCGGUAUUGACGCUGAGACGCGAAAGCGUGGGGAGCAAACAGG
rnacentral:rRNA from 1 species